rnacentral:rRNA from 1 species
ACUCCUACGGGAGGCAGCAGUGGGGAAUAUUGCACAAUGGGCGCAAGCCUGAUGCAGCGACGCCGCGUGGGGGAUGACGGCCUUCGGGUUGUAAAACUCCUUUUCGCUAGGGACGAAGCUUUUUGUGACGGUACCUAGAUAAGAAGCACCGGCUAACUACGUGCCAGCAGCCGCGGUAAUACGUAGGGUGCGAGCGUUGUCCGAAUUACUGGGCGUAAAGGGCUCGUAGGUGGUUUGUCGCGUCGUCUGUGAAAUUCCGGGGCUUAACUCCGGGCGUGAGCGAUACGGGCAUAACUUGAGUACUGUAGGGGUAACUGGAAUUCCUGUGUAGCGGUGAAAUGCGCAGAUAUCAGGAGGAACACCGAUGGCGAAGGCAGGUUACUGGGCAGUUACUGACGCUGAGGAGCGAAAGCAUGGGUAGCGAACAGGAUUAGAUACCCU